GAUGAACGCUGGCGGCGUGCCUAAUACAUGCAAGUCGAGCGAACGGACGAGAAGCUUGCUUUUCUGAUGUUAGCGGCGGACGGGUGAGUAACACGUGGAUAACCUACCUAUAAGACUGGGAUAACUUCGGGAAACCGGAGCUAAUACCGGAUAAUAUUUUGAACCGCAUGGUUCAAAAGUGAAAGACGGUCUUGCUGUCACUUAUAGAUGGAUCCGCGCUGCAUUAGCUAGUUGGUAAGGUAACGGCUUACCAAGGCAACGAUGCAUAGCCGACCUGAGAGGGUGAUCGGCCACACUGGAACUGAGACACGGUCCAGACUCCUACGGGAGGCAGCAGUAGGGAAUCUUCCGCAAUGGGCGAAAGCCUGACGGAGCAACGCCGCGUGAGUGAUGAAGGUCUUCGGAUCGUAAAACUCUGUUAUUAGGGAAGAACAUAUGUGUAAGUAACUGUGCACAUCUUGACGGUACCUAAUCAGAAAGCCACGGCUAACUACGUGCCAGCAGCCGCGGUAAUACGUAGGUGGCAAGCGUUAUCCGGAAUUAUUGGGCGUAAAGCGCGCGUAGGCGGUUUUUUAAGUCUGAUGUGAAAGCCCACGGCUCAACCGUGGAGGGUCAUUGGAAACUGGAAAACUUGAGUGCAGAAGAGGAAAGUGGAAUUCCAUGUGUAGCGGUGAAAUGCGCAGAGAUAUGGAGGAACACCAGUGGCGAAGGCGACUUUCUGGUCUGUAACUGACGCUGAUGUGCGAAAGCGUGGGGAUCAAACAGGAUUAGAUACCCUGGUAGUCCACGCCGUAAACGAUGAGUGCUAAGUGUUAGGGGGUUUCCGCCCCUUAGUGCUGCAGCUAACGCAUUAAGCACUCCGCCUGGGGAGUACGACCGCAAGGUUGAAACUCAAAGGAAUUGACGGGGACCCGCACAAGCGGUGGAGCAUGUGGUUUAAUUCGAAGCAACGCGAAAAACCUUACCAAAUCUUGACAUCCUUUGACAACUCUAGAGAUAGAGCCUUCCCCUUCGGGGGACAAAGUGACAGGUGGUGCAUGGUUGUCGUCAGCUCGUGUCGUGAGAUGUUGGGUUAAGUCCCGCAACGAGCGCAACCCUUAAGCUUAGUUGCCAUCAUUAAGUUGGGCACUCUAAGUUGACUGCCGGUGACAAACCGGAGGAAGGUGGGGAUGACGUCAAAUCAUCAUGCCCCUUAUGAUUUGGGCUACACACGUGCUACAAUGGACAAUACAAAGGGCAGCGAAACCGCGAGGUCAAGCAAAUCCCAUAAAGUUGUUCUCAGUUCGGAUUGUAGUCUGCAACUCGACUACAUGAAGCUGGAAUCGCUAGUAAUCGUAGAUCAGCAUGCUACGGUGAAUACGUUCCCGGGUCU
rnacentral:rRNA from 1 species